GAUGAACGCUAGCGGCAGGCUUAAUACAUGCAAGUCGAGGGGCAGCAGGUCUGUAGCAAUACAGAUGUUGGCGACCGGCAAACGGGUGCGGAACACGUACAGAACCUUCCUUCGAGCGGGGAAUAGCCCAGAGAAAUUUGGAUUAAUACCCCAUAGUAUAUUAGAGUGGCAUCACUUUAAUAUUAAAGAUUUAUCACUUGAAGAUGGCUGUGCGGCUGAUAGGUAGUUGGCGGGGUAACGGCCCACCAAGCCAGCGAUCAGUAACUGGUGUGAGAGGCACGACCAGUCACACGGGCACUG
rnacentral:rRNA from 1 species